rnacentral:rRNA from 1 species
CAGUCGAACGGCAGCGCRAGAGAGCUUGCUCUCUUGGCGGCGAGUGGCGGACGGGUGAGUAAUAUAUCGGAACGUGCCCAGUAGCGGGGGAUAACUACUCGAAAGAGUGGCUAAUACCGCAUACGCCCUACGGGGGAAAGGGGGGGAUCGCAAGACCUCUCACUAUUGGAGCGGCCGAUAUCGGAUUAGCUAGUUGGUGGGGUAAAGGCUCACCAAGGCAACGAUCCGUAGCUGGUUUGAGAGGACGACCAGCCACACUGGGACUGAGACACGGCCCAGACUCCUACGGGAGGCAGCAGUGGGGAAUUUUGGACAAUGGGGGAAACCCUGAUCCAGCCAUCCCGCGUGUAUGAUGAAGGCCUUCGGGUUGUAAAGUACUUUUGGCAGAGAAGAAAAGGUAUCUCCUAAUACGAGAUACUGCUGACGGUAUCUGCAGAAUAAGCACCGGCUAACUACGUGCCAGCAGCCGCGGUAAUACGUAGGGUGCAAGCGUUAAUCGGAAUUACUGGGCGUAAAGCGUGUGUAGGCGGUUCGGAAAGAAAGAUGUGAAAUCCCAGGGCUCAACCUUGGAACUGCAUUUUUAACUGCCGAGCUAGAGUAUGUCAGAGGGGGGUAGAAUUCCACGUGUAGCAGUGAAAUGCGUAGAUAUGUGGAGGAAUACCGAUGGCGAAGGCAGCCCCCUGGGAUAAUACUGACGCUCAGACACGAAAG